rnacentral:rRNA from 1 species
GAUGAACGCUGGCGGCGUGCCUAAUACAUGCAAGUCGAACGGAAAGACGAUGAGCUUGCUCCUCUGACGUUAGCGGCGGGCGGGUGAGUAACGCGUGGAUCACCUACUUAUAUGACGGGGAUAACUUCGGAAAACCGGAUAUAAUACCAGAGAAUAUAUUGAACCGCGGGGGUCAAUGGAAAAUUACGGUUUUGGGGGCUGGAAUAGCUGAUUACGCGCCGUAUUAGCUAGUUGGUAAGGUAACGGCUUACCAAGGCUACGAGGCGUAGCCGAACUGAGAGGGUGAUCGGCCACAUUGGAACUGAGACACGGUCCAGACUCCUACGGGAGGCAGCAGUCGGGAAUCUGCGGCAAUGGGCGAAAGCCUGACGCAGCAACGCCGCGUGAGUGAUGAAGGCCUUCGGAUCGUAAAGCCCUGUUAUUGGGUAAGAACAACUGUGGCAGGAAACAUGGCCGUCUUGACGGUACCUAAUCAGAAAGCACCGGCUAACUACGUG